rnacentral:misc_RNA from 1 species
UGCAGCUUUAGUCCUAUCCAAUAGAACUGCUUAUUUUAUAGGAAAUCCACAUACAAGUAUAGAGAAAUAGAGAUGUAACACCAACCAUCUAAGGAAUAUUAUGCAAUUGUGCAUACAUACAAGUAUGUGCAUGUGUGUGUGGGUAAAGCAAAUUACUUCUCUGAGAUAUACUAUCUUGGCAGAAGCUAAACUCUGAAAAGAAAAAUAUAGUAACCUCAAAA